ACAUGCCUAUAACUUAGCAUUAAUUAACCAGAUCCCAUUAGAACUCCAUAGUUAAGCAUGUUUGGGCUAGAGUAGUACUCAGAUGGGUGAUCGCUCGGGAAGUCCUAGUGUUUUACAUGCC
rnacentral:rRNA from 1 species